AAGGGUGCAGGGCGGAUGCCUUGGCACUAGGAGCCGAUGAAGGACGUGAUAAGCUGCGAUAAGCUUCGGGGAGUUGCACGUAAACUUUGAUCCGAAGAUUUCCGAAUGAGGAAACUCACUUAGAGUAAUGUCUAAGUAUCAUUAAGUGAAUACAUAGCUUAAUGAGGGGAACUCAGGGAACUGAAACAUCUAAGUACCUGAAGGAAGAGAAAGAAAUUCGAUUCCGUAAGUAGCGGCGAGCGAACGCGGAUUAGCCCAAACCAAUAAAGUUUUCUUUAUUGG
rnacentral:rRNA from 1 species